rnacentral:rRNA from 1 species
UACGUAGGUGGCGAGCGUUGUCCGGAAUUACUGGGUGUAAAGCGCGUGUAGGCGGGAGGCCAAGUCUGUGGUGAAAUCGCUCGGCUUAACUGGGCGGGGUCCAUGGAAACUGGUCACCUGGAGGUCGGUAGAGGCAAGUGGAAUUCCCGGUGUAGUGGUGAAAUGCGUAGAGAUCGGGAGGAACACCAGUGGCGAAGGCGGUGGUCUGGGCCGGCACUGACGCUGAGGAGCGAAAGCGUGGGUAGCAAGCAGG